CCUACGGGUGGCUGCAGUGAGGAAUAUUGGUCAAUGGACGAGAGUCUGAACCAGCCAAGUAGCGUGAAGGAUGACUGCCCUAUGGGUUGUAAACUUCUUUUAUAUGGGAAUAAAAUGUUCCACGUGUGGGAUUUUGUAUGUACCAUAUGAAUAAGGAACGGCUAACUCCGUGCCAGCAGCCGCGGUAAUACGGAGGAUCCGAGCGUUAUCCGGAUUCAUUGGGCUUAAAGGGAGCGUAGGCGGGCGGUCAAGUGAGCUGUAAAAUCGCGCGGCUCAACCGCGCCCCGAGGGUGAAACGGGACGCCUUGAGUUCACAACAGGCAGGCGGAAUUCUUGGGGUAGCGGUGAAAUGCAUAGAUAUCACGAGGAACCCCGAUUGCGAAGGCAGCCUGCCGGGGUGCGACUGACGCUGAGGCUCGAAGGUGCGGGUAUCAAACAGGAUUAGAUACCCCUGUAGUC
rnacentral:rRNA from 1 species